UUAUUAAUAUUAUAAAUAGUAGUAGUAAUUUAUAUGCAGGAAUAAAUUACAUCAAUUCAUUUUGUUUUAUUGUAUUUUUAUAAAUUAAAAGUCAGUUGACUAAAACACUGCGGAUAAUAAAAACAUGAAUUGCAUUUAUAAGAUCAAAAAUCGUCCGUUUGAAUUGAUUUAAAUUCUAAAGUACAUCAUAACACCAAAAGCCGCAAUACAAAGAGAGAGAAAGAGAGAAUACUAAACCCCAUUUCGUCAUCUUCAGUGAAACUAAAACAAAGUGUUUUUGGAGCCCGUCCCAGAACCAGAUGGCUCAGUUGGUGCAGAAAUAUAAUUAAAACAUAUCGCCUUAAAAUUAAACAUUAUCUCUCACGGGACAUUAAAAACAUAUUUGGAAGUUAACAUGGCCGUAAGCAAAUAUCAAAAGUGUACAUCAGCAUCAUGUAAAUACAAAAAUAAAAACAAAUUUUUACAUAUUAACUACAUGGACUUGAAUAGUGAAUUAUAUUUUUGGCAAUACACGCCGUCUGAGUCUUACUGUUCCUGUGAAUAAUGUUAAGAUAUCUUAUAAUGUUGUAACUUUCUCUCAUGUCUUUUUGCUGUUAAUCUGCUGAUAAAUCUGCUCCGUCACUUCACACAUCUUCUUCACAAAAUGCUGACAGGCUCAAAAAUAACUCCAGCUAUUUGUUGCUAGGCAGACAGUGAGCAGAAGUAUAUUUGCCCCUGUUGAUAGAUGCAGGGUAAGAUAAGCACAAUGAGAGCAG